UUAAAUUGAAGAGUUUGAUCAUGGCUCAGAUUGAACGCUGGCGGCAGGCCUAACACAUGCAAGUCGAACGGUAACAGAAAGCAGCUUGCUGCUUUGCUGACGAGUGGCGGACGGGUGAGUAAUGUCUGGGAAACUGCCUGAUGGAGGGGGAUAACUACUGGAAACGGUAGCUAAUACCGCAUAACGUCGCAAGACCAAAGAGGGGGACCUUCGGGCCUCUUGCCAUCGGAUGUGCCCAGAUGGGAUUAGCUAGUAGGUGGGGUAACGGCUCACCUAGGCGACGAUCCCUAGCUGGUCUGAGAGGAUGACCAGCCACACUGGAACUGAGACACGGUCCAGACUCCUACGGGAGGCAGCAGUGGGGAAUAUUGCACAAUGGGCGCAAGCCUGAUGCAGCCAUGCCGCGUGUAUGAAGAAGGCCUUCGGGUUGUAAAGUACUUUCAGCGGGGAGGAAGGG
rnacentral:rRNA from 1 species